AACGAACGCUGGCGGCAGGCCUAACACAUGCAAGUCGAACGCUCCGCAAGGGGAGCGGCGCACGGGUGAGUAACACGUGGGAACCUACCUUCUGGUACGGAACAACCAAGGGAAACUUUGGCUAAGACCGUAUACGACCUCCGGGUGAAAGAUUGAUCGCCGGAAGAGGGGCCCGCGUCCGAUUAGGUAGUUGGUGAGGUAACGGCUCACCAAGCCUUCGAUCGGUAGCUGGUCUGAGAGGAUGACCAGCCACACUGGGACUGAGACACGGCCCACGACUCCUACGGGAGGCAGCAGUGGGGAAGUAUUGGACAAUGGGCGCAAGCCUGAUCCAGCCAUGCCGCGUGAGUGAUGAAGGCCUUCGGUUGUUAAG
rnacentral:rRNA from 1 species